rnacentral:rRNA from 1 species
CACUAGUGAUUAGAGUUCGAUCCUGGCUCAGGAUGAACGCUGGCGGCGUGCCUAAUACAUGCAAGUCGAACGCACAGCCGAAAGGUGCUUGCAUCUUUCAAGCGAGUGGCGAACGGGUGAGUAACACGUGGAUAACCUACCUCAAGGUUGGGGAUAACAUUUGGAAACAGAUGCUAAUACCGAAUAAAACUUCGUAUCGCAUGAUACAAGGUUAAAAGGCGCUACGGCGUCACCUAGAGAUGGAUCCGCGGUGCAUUAGUUAGUUGGUGGGGUAAAGGCCUACCAAGACAAUGAUGCAUAGCCGAGUUGAGAGACUGAUCGGCCACAUUGGGACUGAGACACGGCCCAAACUCCUACGGGAGGCUGCAGUAGGGAAUCUUCCACAAUGGGCGAAAGCCUGAUGGAGCAACGCCGCGUGUGUGAUGAAGGCUUUCGGGUCGUAAAGCACUGUUGUAUGGGAAGAACAGCUAGAGUAGGGAAUGACUUUAGUUUGACGGUACCAUACCAGAAAGGGACGGCUAAAUACGUGCCAGCAGCCGCGGUAAUACGUAUGUCCCGAGCGUUAUCCGGAUUUAUUGGGCGUAAAGCGAGCGCAGACGGUUGAUUAAGUCUGAUGUAAAAGCCCGGAGCUCAACUCCGGAAAGGCAUUGGAAACUGGUCAACUUGAGUGCAGUAGAGGUAAGUGGAACUCCAUGUGUAGCGGUGGAAUGCGUAGAUAUAUGGAAGAACACCAGCGGCGAAGGCGGCUUACUGGACUGUAANCUGACGUUGAGGCUCGAAAGUGUGGGUAGCAAACAGGAUUAGAUACCCUGGUAGUCCACACCGUAAACGAUGAACACUAGGUGUUAGGAGGUUUCCGCCUCUUAGUGCCGAAGCUAACGCAUUAAGUGUUCCGCCUGGG